UUAACAAAGCUGGGGCUAUGUUUGUACAGCUGCAUUUUUAGCAGUGGGAGUUCCACCGAUCUCACAUGCGUUCAGUUCCUCUGCCUCCUCUUUGCCAUUUUUACCAGUGCACAAAUGCCCACAGAUUUGAAACUAUAGGAGAGAAAAAAAAACUGUCUGACUAGCAGGUUAAAUGCUCAAGAAUUCACGUCCUGUUUAUUUUCUUUGCUUGAUUUCCUGCUGUUACAACACAUAACUCACUGCAGCCUUAACUUGGCCAUGUCAGCACUUAAUAUUUCCCAUUAAUGUUACAUCUGGAGAUGUUCAGAUAUUAACCACAAAACUGAGGGCAACCCUUAAUCAUUUGGCCAGUACUUGAAGGAAGAGAGUGUGAAGAUUCUGCCAAGUGACUGCUACCUUUUGACUGCUGUUUUAGAUCUCAGACUCUGAUUUGCUGCCUGCCUGCUGUUUUCUGUAGCCCUUUUGAACUAUGAAACAGGUGGCUGCUGUGAACUCUGCUUGUUUGGGAUCUCCUGCAUCUUUUGGUGGAUAGCCAGUGGAAUUAUUCCUUUUAGGAGGAUAUUAAGCUAAAAGAAAAAGAAUCAUGAGGAUAUUCAGUGAAAAGGAAAUCAAUUGCUCUCCUGCCGACCCUUAAUGUUCAGAUUUUCAGCUUUCAUUUAAAAAUGAAGUCUCUUGUUCUUCCAAAGCCAAGAAAUAAAAUAUAGAAUCACUAUUUUGCCUAUUUUAUAAGAAAGGUAGUCUCCUGUAUUUAACAGUAAGAAAAGCCAGCACCAAUGACAAUUGCUGCCUGGAUCAGAGAUCUAGCAGAUGAAUUUGUACAACGUAUUAUGUUUGGUUAAUGUUAAUCAUGGUUGGACAGUUUUUUUUUCAUGGAAUGUGCUUUUAAAUUAAACCCAUCUGAUUCAAAUAUUCAUGAAAGCUUUCAAAAUAUCAGAAAAACGUCAGCUCAUAUGCUGUUAAUUUAUGGAAAAAGGUAGUAUUGCUAAUAGAAAUAUCCAACACUUGGAAUAGAGGUAACCCAUGUUGCUGUACAAACCUUGGUAGAAAGAUCAGUUUUUUUCUGAUUAAUACUAAAGUAUUGAUCUCUCAAAGCCUUGAGAAAUCAAGUAUGCAGUAUAUUCUUCAUAUAGCUGUACUGUGUUUCAUUUAUAGAAUAUGUUACUAAAAUAUAGUACAUACAUAGGAAAAGUGAACAAAUGUGUUCUAUAUGCAGAUUACAGUUUUAUACUACAUUGCUGAUCUAUUCUUGUUUUCCUGAAAGAACCUGCAGAUAUCUGAUAAUACAUCUUUUGACAACUGAUGCAUCAUUUAAUAGUGGCAGAAUGAUCUAUCUAAAUUUGGCAGGGCAAAAAACCCAUGAGUUAAAUAUAAGGUAUUACAAGAUGCAAAGGAAAGAAGAUGAAUGGCCUUCCUGAGUUGAAAUUGUAUUUUGCAGCUUGCUAUUUGAUUUGGGUGAAAAAGUGCAUACUUCUGAGAAACAGAAGGCUAUUGAGUUAGUAAUAAUACAACCUGAAAUUUGAGUGGCAUGGAUAUUUGUGAUAUGAUAAAGUCAAGGUUAAUGUGGAUUUUAAAAAUAAUUAUGUUUAGAUAUGCCACAUUUAGAAUAUGAAAUAGAUUCAAACCCACGGUUAUCCCCAAAACCAUCUCUGUGGCCCUAGCACAAGAAGAAUUUUACAGAUGAGAAGUAGACAAACAUAAAUGGCUAACUUAUAAUGAGAUAUUAGAAUUUUGUCAAAGGGAAUAUAAAAUAAAAUCAAGUGAAUAAUCUGUAGUAAAAGGAUAUAGUUGUCAAUAGUUUUCUUACUUAUAGUUAUUAAAAACAUUUAAAGGAGACAAAAUAGUUUAUGGUUCUGAACAUUGUAAGACUGAAUUUUAAAUAGAAUUGUAUACAAAUAAUGAACAUAUAAUUGCUAAAAUGUAUAUUGAAAUUAAUAAGAAGAAGGGAAGUAAUGUGGGCUAAAAGGUAUGUUAUACAAUGGAGCAAUGGGAAAAUAUGUAGUUUAAAGGAUUGAAAUUUAUAUGAUUAUAAUCUUAAAUGAUUUUUUAAAAAGUUGAUAUACUGUUGGUACAUUUUGCUGGAAAAUUGUGUAAGGCACUUACGUUGAAAAUGUGAACAAGUAGGGAUAUUUUAUCAUGUUCGGUGAAUAUGUUAAAAAGCUACAUUUUUUUGAUUCAAAGAAACAUAUUGAUUCAAGAUAUUUUAAAGAUGAAUAAACAGUUGA